rnacentral:rRNA from 1 species
UCAAGCUAAAAAGGGCGCAAGGUGAAUGCCUUGGCACUGGGAGCCGAUGAAAGACGUGGUAAGCUGCGAAAAGCUUCGGGGAGGAGCAAACAUCCAUUGAUCCGGAGAUAUCUGAAUGGGGCAACCCAAUGGAGUUCAUACUCCAUUAUCCAAUACUGAAUCCAUAGGUAUUGGAAGGGAACCGCCUGAACUGAAACAUCUAAGUAGGGCGAGGAAGAGACAUCAAACGAGAUUCCGUAAGUAGUGGCGAGCGAACGCGGAAGAGGGCAAACCGAGAGGAGAAAUCCUUUCGGGGUACGGACUGCUUUUAGGACUGGAAGAGUUAACAGAAUGGCAUGGGAAGGCCAACCGAAGAGUGUGAGAGUCACGUAGGUAAAAAUUCUGACAGCUGCGCAGGAUCCAGAGUACGGCCAGACACGUGAAACCUGGUCGGAACAUGGGGGGACCACCCUCCAACCCUAAAUACUACCCAGUGACCGAUAGCGUAUAGUACUGUGAAGGAAAGGUGAAAAGGACCCCGGGAGGGGAGUGAAAGAGAACCUGAAACCUUGUGCCUACAAGCACAUAGAGCCCGUCAAAGGGUGAUAUGGUACUUUUUGUAGAACGGUCCGGCGAGCGAUUGUACGUUGCGAGCUUAAGGUCUUAAGGACUGGAGGCGUAGCGAGAGCGAGUCUAAACAGGGCGUUUAGUAGCGUGCAAUGGGCCCGAAACCGGGUGACCUACCCAUGAUCAGGCUGAAGUGAAAGUAAAAUUUCAUGGAGGGCCGAACCGACCUCCGUUGAAAAGGCGGCGGAUGAAUUGUGGGUAGCGGAGAAAUUCCAAUCGAACUCGGAGAUAGCUGGUUCUCCCCGAAAUAGCUUUAGGGCUAGCCUCAUGUUAGAUAUCCGGAGGUAAAGCACUGAAUGGCCUAGCGUCCGAGAGGAUAGCGAAGCCUAUCAAACUAAGAAUGCCGGAAUAUUGAUGCAUGGGAGUCAGACAGUGUGAGAUAAAUCUCAUUGUCAAAAGGGAAACAGCCCAGAUCUACAGCUAAGGUCCCAAAUUGUAUCUAAGUGGAAAACGAUGUGGAAAUACGCAGACAACCAGGAUGUUGGCUCAGAAGCAGCCACUCAUUUAAAGAGUGCGUAAUAGCUCACUGGUCGAGCGUCUCUGCGCGGAAAAUUUAACGGGGCUAAGAUACAAACCGAAGCUUAGGCUGCACUUUUAGUGCGGGGUAGGGGAGCGUUGUGUAAGCGGAGAAACAGUAGCGUAAGCGGCUGUGGAGUUUACAGAAGUGAGAAUGCCGGAAUGAGUAGCGCGAAUGAUGUGAGAAUCAUCAUGGCCGGAAACCUCAGGUUUUUGGAGGAAGGUUCGUCCGCUCCAAGUUAGGCGGGAGCUAAGGUGAGGCCGAAAGGCGUAGCCGAUGCACAGACGGUAGAGAUUCCGUCCCCACCGAAAGAUUUAAGCGCAGGGACACUUUUAGAAGGUCGGAGCCAGGUGUUGGUUCUGGUAGAGAUCGAGGGAAGAUUAGUACCGAAGUCCGGCUGGAUAAGAGGCGAGAAAAGUUGCGUGUAUAUCUAAGGUGCCCGUACCGCAAACCGACACAGGUAGGUAGGAAGAAGAUUCUAAGGCCAACGGGAGAAGGGUUGUUAAGGAACUCGGCAAGUUGACCCCGUAACUUCGGAAUAAGGGGUGCUCAUGAAAGUGAGCCGCAGAGAAUAGGCCCAGGCAACUGUUUACCAAAAACACAGGUUUGUGCUAAAUCGAAAGAUGACGUAUACGAGCUGACGCCUGCCCGGUGCUGGAAGGUUAAAAGGAGAUGUGCAAGCAUUGAAUUGAAGCCCCAGUGAACGGCGGCCGUAACUAUAACGGUCCUAAGGUAGCGAAAUUCCUUGUCAGGUAAG